rnacentral:rRNA from 1 species
AGCGCGCGUAGGUGGUUUGUUAAGUUGGAUGUGAAAGCCCCGGGCUCAACCUGGGAACUGCAUCCAAAACUGGCAAGCUAGAGUAUGGUAGAGGGGUGGUGGAAUUUCCUGUGUAGCGGUGAAAUGCGUAGAUAUAGGAAGGAACACCAGUGGCGAAGGCGACCACCUCGGACUGAUACUGACACUGAGGUGCGAAAGCGUGGGGAGCAAACAGGAUUAGAUACCCGUGU